rnacentral:tRNA from 1 species
GGGAGCGUCGCAUAGCGGCAAUUGCACGAGACUGUAAAUCUCGCAACCUAACGGUUUUCGCCGGUUCGAGUCCGGCCGCUCCCA